rnacentral:lncRNA from 1 species
UGUCCAACAAAGCUGUUAUUUUAUCAGGAAGAACUGAAAGCUCAUUUCAGAAACUGAAGCUUCUCAGGAAUGAACCAAAUGAUUUGAUCAAGAAUUUCAGCAACUUGAUGCACUCAAGAUGGAGAACCCAUAUUUUUUUUUUUUUAAACUGCCACCCUCACAACUUUGUUCUAACUGUGUCUGGAGAUCUGUGAUUCAAGUGGUUGGUUCAGCAGCUCAAUCAUCCGUCUCCACUGAAUCCCAACCUGAAGGUUUUAUGCAGCAGUCCCCGAUUCAAAGCGUCCUCCUGCAAGCAAGUCACUAAAACAAAGACUUGUGGGCCCUGGGAGAAGCAGGGAAGGGACAUUUGAAGACUUUGCCUACUGAUGGCAGGAUUGAACCUGUUCCCCACAGCCGGAGACGCACUAUAACCUGUGCUCCACACCUUCACAAGCACGAAGAACAAGGCAAGUUUGUUUUCCAAGUUGACUAACGUUGAUAGCAGCCAUUCCAAACAUGGAAAGGAUUUACUUACUCAGUUCACUUCCUGGUGUUACAAGGCACUGAAACUUGC